rnacentral:rRNA from 1 species
UGAGUCCGAGGAGCUACGGCUCUUAAGUGAUACGAGUCAGACUUCCCAGAAAAGCCCGAACCACGUUAAUCUCUAAUUACCUGUACCCGAAACCGACACAGGUGGGUAGGUAGAGUAUACUAAGGGGCGCGAGAUAACUCUCUCUAAGGAACUCGGCAAAAUGACUCCGUAACUUCGGGAGAAGGAGUGCCUUAUUUAUAAGGUUGCAAUAACAAGAUCCAAGCAACUGUUUAUCAAAAACACAGGUCUCCGCUAAGUCGUAAGACGAUGUAUGGGGGCUGACGCCUGCCCAGUGCCAGAAGGUUAAAGAAGUUGGUUAGUGUAUGCGAAGCUGAUGACUGAAGCCCUGGUGAACGGCGGCCGUAACAAUAACGGUCCUAAGGUAGCGAAAUUCCUUGUCGGGUAAGUUCCGACCCGCACGAAAGGCGUAAUGACUUGGAUACUGUCUCGGAGAGAGGCUCGGUGAAAUAGACUUGUCUGUGAAGAUGCGGACUACCUGCACCAGGACAGAAAGACCCUAUGAAGCUUUACUGUAACUUGAAAUUGGAAUUGGACUUUGCUUGCGCAGUAUAGGUGGGAAGCGUUGAAGAUAUUCUUGCGGGAGUAUUGGAGCUAUCAGUGAGAUACCACUCUUGUAAUGUUAGAUUUCUAACUUUGAACCAUAAUCUGGUCAAAGAACAGUUUCAGGUGGGCAGUUUGACUGGGGCGGUCGCCUCCCAAAUGGUAACGGAGGCGUACAAAGGUUUCCUCUGAACGGAUAGAAAUCGUAUCUAGAGUGUAAAGGCAUAAGGAAGCUUGACUGUGAGACCUACAAGUCGAGCAGGGACGAAAGUCGGUCUUAGUGAUCUGACGGUACUGAGUGGAAAGGCCGUCACUCAACGGAUAAAAGUUACUCUAAGGAUAACAGGCUGAUCUCCCCCAAGAGUUCACAUCGACGGGGAGGUUUGGCGCCUCGAUGUCGGCUCAUCGCAUCCUGGGGCGGUAGUACGUCCCAAGGGUUGGGCUGUUCGCCCAUGAAAGCGGUACGCGAGCUGGGUUCAGAACGUCGUGAGACAGUUCGGUCCAUAUCCGGUGUAGGCGUUAGAAUAUUGAGAGGAGCCUUCUUUAGUACGAGAGGACCGAGAAGGACACACCGCUGGUGUACCAGUUAUCGUGCCAACGGUAAACGCUGGGUAGCUAUGUGUGGAGUGGAUAACCGCUGAAAGCAUCUAAGUGGGAAGCCCACCUCAAGAUGAGUAUUCUCAUCACUAUAAGUGAGUAAGGUCACGGUAAGACUAACCGUUUGAUAGGCAUUAAGUGUAAAUGUAGUAAUGCAUGUGCUGAGAUGUCCUAACAGACCGAGGACUUGAAUA